AACGAUGAAGCUUCUAGCUUGCUAGAAUGCUGAUUAGUGGCGCACGGGUGAGUAACGCAUAGGUCAUGUGCCUCUUAGUUUGGGAUAGCCAUUGGAAACGAUGAUUAAUACCAGAUACUCCCUACGGGGGAAAGAUUUAUCGCUAAGAGAUCAGCCUAUGUCCUAUCAGCUUGUUGGUAAGGUAAUGGCUUACCAAGGCUAUGACGGGUAUCCGGCCUGAGAGGGUGAACGGACACACUGGAACUGAGACACGGUCCAGACUCCUACGGGAGGCAGCAGUAGGGAAUAUUGCUCAAUGGGGGAAACCCUGAAGCAGCAACGCCGCGUGGAGGAUGAAGGUUUUAGGAUUGUAAACUCCUUUUGUUAGAGAAGAUAAUGACGGUAUCUAACGAAUAAGCAC
rnacentral:rRNA from 1 species